AAAAAAACAGGGCCGUGGGAGAGGAGGAGGAGAUCAGGCGUUUGGCCUCUGAGGCAGGAAACAGACCAGCACCUCGGCAGAAGAAGUGGCAUGAUCUAUAUCUGAAGCCUUCCAGUUCGCUCCUUGUCUCAGUGCAUCCAGGAACCUCAUGUACAGUGGAACAGCAGCCAGGGCCUUCACCUGGUGAGACGCUACAGCCAGGACUCUACCUGCAGAUUCACCACCACCACCACCACCAAAGGAUGUCUCCUUAGCUAGUGGUGAACCUUGGCAUCAACCUCUGAUGUAUCCAGCCCCAUCACAAGCCCCACAAAAAGAAAAGUGUCACCACCUGGACACAGACUGUUUCUCCUGUGUCUCUUCCUCCUUCUACUGCUCCUGUAUCAAGCCCAGCUUCUUCCAUUCUGCCUCCACUGCUACAGCUGUAAGAACAUAUUCUACUACACUUGAAACAGGAGCUGCUCUUGAGUAGAUUGUUAUCAUAUCUAUGUAUUAAACUUAUUAUUUUAAGUAUUUUAUUUUCUUUAUAUUAAGUGUUAUCUGCCACCUCCUCCUGUGUCUCCCCAGGAACCCCCUCUGCUCCUCUCACCUUGCCAUUGCCUAAAAAUGUGGGGAUCGUACCUGUUUCAGAUGCUGCCUGGCUGCCCACAAAGCUGCUAAAGACAUUUCAGCAGCCCUGUGGAAAGACCAGCGUCUUUUCAAAGACCUGAAACUGUGGUAUGAUCCACCAGAGUCCUCCCUCAUAUACCAUCAGGUCCUCACUCCUGAGCGCUUCUUCCACCACGACUUUUCUCAUGGAAAAAACAUGGUGUGACAUUCUUUGUCAAUAUGUAUAUAAUGUAAAUAGUUUUAAAAGAAAAAAGUCUUAAUUUGCUGCUGUUCUAUUUUGUUUUUUAACUUUAACACACGUGUUUGUGAGUGUGUGUGUGAAAUUUGUAAUAAAUUUGUUACAUUUCAGUGACUGUCUUCAUUUUUUACUGCAAAAAUGCAAACUCACUCAUAGAAAACGAUAACAUUGUUGCAGUACUUCAUUCAGAAAUAUAAAAAUGACUAUAAAAGUACAUUUAGGUACAUGUGAUAACACUUGGUAGUAGUCUGUGUUAAAGGCCUCAUGUUCCAAUGGUGGAAUCGAACCAGCGACCUUUGGGUCAAGAGCCUCCUAUGCUUUUCUGCAGUUAAGUGUCAUAUUUGGUUAAAUUUCUCAAAUUAAUAGACCAGAAUAUGUGUGAUUUUACUUGUGAUGGACAGUAGAGACACUAAUAACUACAGGCUCCUUCCAUUUUUUCAAAAUUUCCUCUCUUUUCCUUCUUUUUCCUUCUUCCCCCUUCUUCCCCCUCUUCCUUCUUCUUCCCCCGCCUAUCCAGACUAUUGUUCCCCAG